AAAACUUUCAACAACGGAUCUCUUGGUUCUGGCAUCGAUGAAGAACGCAGCGAAAUGCGAUAAGUAAUGUGAAUUGCAGAAUUCCGUGAAUCAUCGAAUCUUUGAACGCACAUUGCGCCCUUUGGUAUUCCGAAGGGGGCAUGCCUGUUCGAGCGUCAUU
rnacentral:rRNA from 1 species